rnacentral:rRNA from 1 species
GUAUUAAAGGUGCUGCCUGCCCAGUGAAAUAAUUUUAACGGCCGCGGUAUCCUAACCGUGCAAAGGUAGCGUAAUCACUUGUCUUUUAAAUAGAGACUCGUAUGAAAGGCUAAAUGAAGACGAAACUGUCUCUUAUAGUUGACCAGUUAAACUGAUUUCCAAGUACAAAAGCUUGGAUAAACACAUAAGACGAGAAGACCCUGUGGAGCUUUAAACUAACACUAUAACAACAAAAUAGCACAAGUUUUAAGUUGGGGCGACUUCGGAACAAAACAAAACUUCCGAGCACAGAGCCACCCACUCUAACCUAGACCAACAAGUCAAAGAACAAUAAUGACCCAGUUAUUCUGAUCAACGAACCAAGUUACCCCAGGGAUAACAGCGCUAUCUUCUUCAAGAGUCCAUAUCGACAAGAAGGUUUACGACCUCGAUGUUGGAUCAGGACACCCAAAUGGUGCAGCAG